GCUGGAAUAGCUCAGUUAGUUAGAGCGUGUGGCUGUUAACCACAAGGUCGUGCUUUGAUUCUUGAUAUUGCG
rnacentral:tRNA from 1 species